rnacentral:lncRNA from 1 species
AUGUUCGAUUCCUGGGUUAGGAAGAUGCCCUGGAGAACGGAAUGGCAACCCACUCCAGUGCUCUCGCCUGGGAAAUCCCACAGACAGAGGAGCCUGGCAGGCUACAGUCCAUGGGGUUGCAAAGAGUCAGACACAACUGAGCGACUGAGCGUGUAUGCAUAUGCGCGUGAGAGCGGCGGAAAGGGAAGUGCGCUGCCCUCAGAAGGAGAGGUCCUUUUCAGGCCAGACUGGCCGUGUCACACUGCGUGGGAGGGGCCACGGGGACACACCCAGCCCCUGGCAACCUCAUCGCUGAGGUGCCCUACGCCUGUGUGGGGAGGCAGGGACACUGCGUCUCUGCUUCGCACAAAGAUGAUGUCCUAUGGCUGGCAUAGUCUGGCCCAGGAGAGCAGAAACGUGAAACGACCAAUUCUAGAGUGUUUGCUGGACCACUCCAAGCUCAGAAAAAUGUAAUACCACACAGCCUAAAAUGGAUGCACUGAGAAAAACACAACACACCUAUGGAGCUGUGACCACCCAGCCCAAUGAAUUUGGUCCACAACCUUGGUCAAGUUUCAUCCACGUCCAAGGAGGAGCCUCGGGUGGAAUGCUGAGUGGAAGGGACGGAGGUAAAGUUCUAUAAUAUGGGUGGGUAGUCACCAUCUGGCUUCCUCAGAUUUUAAGCCAGAGUAGGUUCAGAGAGCUUGUCAGAGGAUGCCAACUGGAGAGAAAUGGAAAAUUGGAACCAAUAUGUAAAGAGUUGCUUUAUGAAUCACAGUGGAAAGUUGUUUGAUUAAACACCACUCACUUGCAUUCAGUGGAAAGCAGUUUUGGCUCACCCUGGUCCCCUGUCCCAGGGGGACGCUUUCUCUAGGAUGAAUAAGAAAGAUGCUCUCCACUAUACUAGUAAUUAAUGUGUUUCUUUCACCUGGAGGCACCUAGGUCCCUCACUCUAUCUCAUUAUUGUAAAAAUGGUCUAGCUCACCCCUUAGCCUGAUGUUGAAGCUGAAGCUCCAAUACUUUGUCCACCUGUUGCAAAGAGCCAACUCAUUGGAAAAGACCCUGAUGCUGGGAAAGAUUGAGGGCAGAAGGAGAAGUACAGGAGGAGGGCGACAGAGCUUCGGCAUCAGUCUAAGGUGAUUGGAUGGCAUCACUGACUCAGUGGACGUGAAUUUGAGCAAACUCUGGGAGACAGUGCAAGACAGGGAAGCCUGGCAUGCUGUAGUCCACGGGUCGCAAGAAGCUGGACUUGACUGAGCAACUAAAAAACAACUCCUUAGAAGUCCACCAAAACAGUCUCCUCUGCACUGUGCCCACUGGUCCCUUCCACUGGUCUCUGUCCCAAGAAAUCACGUGUGGUUUUACAUUUUUGCUUUUUGAGUUUUUUUUUUAAGACCAGGCUAUGUAGCAUAUGGGAUCUUGGUUCCCCAACCAGGGAUUGAACCCAGGCCCCCUGCAUUGGGAGAACAGAGACUUAACCACUGUACCACCAGGGAAGUCCCUGAUCACAUGUGUUUUCAUCACUUGCAUUUGAAGGGCCCUAAGUUUCAGGCAUUGUUCUAUGGACUCUAGCCCCUUCCAUUUCCAUGGGGGUAUGGACUCUCUAUCCCCUUUGAGGUCCAUCUGCUUUCCAAAGUGCAGAUUUUUGAGAUGGAGACCCUGGGAGGGCUUCCUCUUUCUGCCAGUAGAGCUUUCAUAUCCCAUUGUAUUGCCACAAAAGAUUCCCAAGAGAUUCUAGAAACUUCUGAUCUUGCAGGCCACCUGAACAGACCCUCCCCAGGUGUCAGUGGAGCUGCUUUCAGUGGGGUUGUCCUUGACUACACAAGUCUCCAGUGGGAGGCUUGGUCUCCUAAGGCUCAGACUGAAGACAGGAUCUAGAGACUGUGUUACUGGAUCAUCACCAGUUUCUUUUGGUCCACAAGAGUGGUUCCUGCUUUUCUUGGACAGUUGUGAGAAACUGAGUGUGACUGCUUGGAAGUGCCACCGGCGGGCCUGCUGCUCCGCUGACUAGCUCACACCUCUGAGAGCUCAAGGCUGGCAGUACUGAGCACUGAGGACUCAUUUCUGCUGGUGAGCGGGACCAAGAAUGAACUGGAAGUAGGUGCUGCCUUCAGAAGAGGCACAGGUAGCUCUGCGAGGAGCUCAGAUAAGGGGGAAGCAGCCAGGAACCCCUUCACCUCCCCUGUUAUCUGCUGCAGGGAUGGGGCCCCAGACCUGGGGAAGAAACACACUUUCAGGGGAAAGGGCUGGGGUUCCUCUUGAAUGCGUGAGUCAGUGCCAGGCUCAAGGCACAGCCCCAAACAAACAAGUUUGAGAGAGGAGCCAGUGGGCUAAGGUGUGGGGUGGAGAUGGCCAGGGCUGCAGGACUGUGAAGGGAGCCUCGUCCGGGGACGCAGGAGACUGGAACUGCAUUCGGCUCCACGUGUCUUUUCAGACGCACAUCUUGGGCCAUUUAGGUGACAGGCUCCUGACUCUCCAGCCCCAGGCCCAGGAUGUUCUCCUGCCUCUCAGUGCAGAGCAAGGACUGCUCAGGACUGAGGUUACCAGGCCUGUUGUGGAGCUUGGGACUCACAGCCCAGAAAGGAUAAAGAAACAAAUUCAAUGUAAAGUCAUUUCAAUAACACUCACUUUUGGACAUUUACUAUAGCAAUUAUUGUUGUUGUUCAUUCUCCAAGUCAUCUCUGACUCUUUGCGACCCCAUGGGCUGCCGCACGCCAGGCUUCCCUGUCCUUCACCAUCUCCCUGAGUUCUCUCAAACUCAAGCCCAUUGAGUCGGUGAUGCCAUCCAACCGUCUCAUCCUCUGUCGCCCCCUUCUCCUCCUGCCCUCAAUCUUUCCCAGCAUCAGGGUCUUUUCAAAUGUGUCAGCUGUUUGCAUCAGGUGGCUAAGGUAUUGGAGCUUCAGCACCAGUCUUUCCAAAGAGUAUUCAGGGUUGACUUCCUGUAAGAUUGACUGGUU